rnacentral:rRNA from 1 species
UACGGGGGGGGCAAGCGUUGUUCGGAAUUACUGGGCGUAAAGAGCUCGUAGGCGGUCUGUCGCGUCUGCUGUGAAAAUCCAGGGCUCAACCCUGGACCUGCAGUGGGUACGGGCAGACUAGAGUGCGGUAGGGGAGAUCGGAAUUCCUGGUGUAGCGGUGAAAUGCGCAGAUAUCAGGAGGAACACCGGUGGCGAAGGCGGAUCUCUGGGCCGUAACUGACGCUGAGGAGCGAAAGCAUGGGGAGCGAACAGG